rnacentral:rRNA from 1 species
UACGGAAGGCAGCAGUGGGGAAUAUUGCACAAUGGGCGAAAGCCUGAUGCAGCUAUGCCGCGUGUAUGAAGAAGGCCUUAGGGUUGUAAAGUACUUUCAUCGGGGAGGAAAAAACAAAACUAAUAAUUUUAUUUCUUGACGUUACCCGAAAAAGAAGCACUGGCUAACUCCGUGCCAGCAGCCGCGGUAAUACGGAGGGUGCUAGCGUUAAUCAGAAUUACUGGGCGUAAAGAGCACGUAGGUGGUUUUUUUAAGUUCAGAUGUGAAAUCCCUGGGCUUAACCUGGAACUGCAUUUUGAAACUGAAAUACUAGAGUAUCGUAGAGGGAGGUAGAAUUCUAGGUGUAGCGGUGAAAUGCGUAGAUAUCUGGAGGAAUACCUGUGGCGAAAGCGGCCUCCUAAACGAAUACUGACACUGAGGUGCGAAAGCGUGGGGAGCAAACAGGGAUUUAGGAUACC